rnacentral:rRNA from 1 species
CCUACGGGGGGCAGCAGUCGAGAAUCAUUCACAAUGGGGGAAACCCUGAUGGUGCGACGCCGCGUGGGGGAAUGAAGGUCUUCGGAUUGUAAACCCCUGUCAUGUGGGAGCAAAUUAAAAAGAUAGUACCACAAGAGGAAGAGACGGCUAACCCUGUGCCAGCAGCCGCGGUAAUACAGAGGUCUCAAGCGGUGUUCGGAAUCACUGGGGGUAAAGCGUGCGUAGGCUGUUUCGUAAGUCGUGUGUGAAAGGCGCGGGCUCAACCCGCGGACGGCACAUGAUACUGCGAGACUAGAGUGAUGGAGGGGGAACCGGAAUUCUCGGUGUAGCAGUGAAAUGCGUAGAUAUCGAGAGGAACACUCGUGGCGAAGGCGGGUUCCUGGACAUUAACUGACGCUGAGGCACGAAGGCCAGGGGAGCGAAAGGGAUUAGAUACCCCUGUAGUC